GUGCACCAGUCGCGAAACCUCCGCAAUGCGGGAAACCGUGACGGGGUCACCCCGAGUGCCACCCGAUGAGGGUGGCUUUUCCCCGGUCUAAAAAGCCGGGGGCAAUAAGCGGGGGGCAAGUCUGGUGUCAGCCGCCGCGGUAAUACCAGCCCCGCGAGUGGUCGGGACGUUUAUUGGGCCUAAAGCGUCCGUAGCCGGCUCGGUAAGUCCCUCCUUAAAUCCACGGGCUCAACCCGUGGGCUGGGAGGGAUACUGCCGGGCUAGGGGGCGGGAGAGGCCGAGGGUACUCCCGGGGUAGGGGCGAAAUCCGUUAAUCCCGGGAGGACCACCAGUGGCGAAGGCGCUCGGCUGGAACGCGCCCGACGGUGAGGGACGAAAGCUGGGGGAGCAAAGGGGAUUAGAUACCCCCGUAGU
rnacentral:rRNA from 1 species